GUUUAGAUAGCUUAAUUAGAGCGUGAUAUUGAAGAUAUCAAUGUGGUUUUUAACCUCUAGACA
rnacentral:tRNA from 1 species